UGUCGACCAUAGACCUCAGACUCUGCCCAGGCGGCGCUGCGAAAAAAACCGUCACCAGCGCCCCCAUCGGAGCCUUGGCGCGAACUGAGUAGUGCAAGGAGAGCUGUCCGCAAGCAAAGGUGCAUAGGCCACAAUGGACCCUUCUCUUUCGUUUGUGUUGAGGCACGGUUUCUUAAAAUCAAGGGCCUGGAAAGCUUCUUCCGCCCAUCCACGCUUCGGAAAGGAAGCUCAGCAGGGCGAAGUACGUGUACAACAUAAAAUAAAGUCUAAAGUGUCAUUUCGGCGUGCUGCAACUCGCAAGUACAGAGAGCAUCAAGUUUGUCUAUAGGCAUAUCAGCAUAAAGAUCUAAGCAUUUCAAAUUGGUUCAUAUUGAAUAUGUCCUGAAUACAAGACUUAUUAAGGAUCUCCUAUAUUUUUAUGUAUUUUAUCGUAUUAUUUUGUCUCGCAAUUAUUUACAGAGAGUAAAUCGAUUCAUAGCCUUUUCCAGGGCAGCAAACAGAAAACGUUUUCCAAGGCAGCAAAUUGCGUGCGAUCAUAACGAAAGUAAGCUUCCUACAGUGCCUACGCGCUGCAUCUUUCUUUCUCGCAGGAGCUACAGCAUCGUUCAGUACCUUAAUUUGAACUUUUUGCAGACCCUUCGAGCAGCAAGCGCGCACACAUAAAUGUAUAUAAACGCUACAUUUUUUUUUUCUUUACACACGUACGUUAUUUCGCAGUUACUCAUCCAGUGCUCCUACAGCAACUUUAUUGCUCACAUUUGAAAAACGCAGUCGAGCAGGCUCGGCACAUUGCGAAGCGUGCUUGUAUCGGCGCAGGACAUACAAAAUACCGAAAGCAGAAAUGAGCUCGCGAUACAACGAUGCUCCAGAACAGGAUUUUGAAUUCAUAAACGAACCAAAAUGUUUGGUUAAGCUGACCUGCCAAAUCUCUCCGUUCCACUUGUUGAGUCAAGUGGAGGCGGACGUCUGUUAAAAGGCGGAGGUAUCGAUGGCACAAAAGCAGGAUGGUUCGCAACGUUUUUUUUCUGUUACCAACGGUGGCUGCAGAUUCUUGAGUUGUCGUUUGGUUACCACGGUCCUCCGUCAGGGCUACGCAACACAAUUACAGAAGAACAAAAUUGCCGCACUUUCUCAUGCGAGCCGCUGUGUUGUGGGGAAUGCAAGUAAUUAAUCCGAUUACCCAACAGGUUGAACGGCCCGUAUCCAUGCAGCGCUCUCACCUUUCCCCUUCAUACGAUCGCGAUGGAAACCGGUAAAACUGAACGUUGUUAUUCCGUCCUUCACGUUCAUGCCACUUAACAACACAACAGUAGCGUCGAUUGCGGCGUUUCUUCGUAGCGCGCGGAGCUAUCGCGGUUGCCGUUGUUUCGUCAUCAGUCUGAUGAGUGAGCCAGCAAGCGCUUUACGGCAGUUCGGCGGCGCGUCCGACUAGAGUUAGAAAUUCAUAGCACUCUGUCUGGAUGUUAAAUGCGCAAAACACUCGCCAUAUGACCCAAAAUCUAGUUAAAUCGUUGUUUCGGGCCGUGUCUGCUGUGCCCGGGGCACAGCAAACGAAAGGUGCCCGAAAUGUCUACGUUCACCCAUGACGUCACGUCCGCUAUAACCCAUGAUGUCACAUCCGCUCGUUUCCAUGGCGGCCGUCUUACGGAGCCGGCUACGCUGCGAAACGGUCCGUAUUCCAUGCCCACUUAGAGCACUGAACAUCCCACCUCUUGGUUUGACUUCCUGGUACAGGAUACUUGCACUUAGCAUGGAGUGAUGAAGCAAAGCAGUGUACUUUUAUUAAAUGUGCAGAUUUUAGCAGUAUAACAGCAGUUCAUUAAAAAAACAUGUGUGCUGAAAAUAAAGUGUUCUUACCCACA